UACGGGCCAAAGAUAAUCGUGUUUUCAUCAACGGUCCUGAUCAUGCCAUAAAACAAUUCAUCUUUGCACCCUUGGCCGAAGAGAAUCCAUAGCCAUAAUCAUACCAAAAACUAUCCAUCAAUGCACUACGGGCCAAUGAGGACUUUUUUCACAUCAUUUGUAACAUUACGGUCAUGAUUAUACCGAAUAAUCCCUGGUCAUAAUCAUACCAAGUCCAUCUAUG
rnacentral:lncRNA from 1 species